CCUACGGGGCGCAGCAGUGGGGAAUAUUGCACAAUGGGGGAAACCCUGAUGCAGCAACGCCGCGUGAGUGAAGAAGGUUUUCGGAUUGUAAAGCUCUGUUAUCAGGGAAGAGGAAGGACGGUACCUGCAGAGGAAGCCACGGCAAAACACGUGCCAGCAGCCGCGGUAAAACGGUGGUGGCAAAGGUUAUUCGGAAGAAAUGGGCGGAAAGGAUGCGUAGGCGGUUAAACAAGUUAUAGGUUAAAUAUAUAGGCUUAACCUGUAGAAAGCAUAGAAAACUGUGUAACUAGAGUGCAGGAGAGGUAAGUGGAAUUCCUAGUGUAGCGGGGAAAUGCGUAGAGAUUAGGAGGAACACCAGUGGCGAAGGCGACUUACUGGACUGUAACUGACGCUGAGGCAUGAGAGCAUGGGGAGCAAACAGGAUUAGAUACCCUGGUAGUC
rnacentral:rRNA from 1 species